AUGGAGAUGAGCAACCGCUCCAAGAUGAGCGACAUUGACCUACUUUCUGUGUACCUUGGCAUCGAAGUGAGCCGGGAGCCUGGCUGGAUCACUCUGGAGCAAACAACGUUCCCUGCCAAGAUUUUGGAGAAGACAGGCAUGACAGACUGCAGCCGCGUGCAUGUGCCCAUGGAGUUGCGCUUGAAGCUCUCCAAGGAAAGGAUGAAUCCGUCGGUGGACGCUGCCUUGUAUCAUCGUGAGCCUCCGCUACUUGGCGCACACGCGGCCAGACACCAGCUUCAUCAUCGACAUGGUGAGCCGGUUUAUGGAGGCACCAACAACGGACCACAUGAGCGUCAGCAAACACCUAGUCAGAUACAUUGCAGGAUGCUUGACCAAGACUGUUGCCCAUACAUGCAACUCUGCGUUUCGAUUAAUCACCGCCAAGUGGGUCGACGUGACGGCUAA
rnacentral:rRNA from 1 species